GUCAACAUAUCCGAGUGGAUAAGGAGAUAGACUUGAAAUCUAUUGGGCUUUGCCUGCUUAGGUUCGAAUAUUGGGCUUUGCCUGCGCAUGUUCGAAUCCUACUGUUGACU
rnacentral:tRNA from 1 species